rnacentral:rRNA from 1 species
GACGAACGCUGGCGGCGUGCUUAACACAUGCAAGUCGAACGCAGUGGCGAACGGGUGAGUAAUACGUGAAUAACCUGCCCUCCUUUUUGGGAUAAGGCUUGGAAACGGGGUCUAAUUCCGUAUAUAGGGGGAUGUGGUCGGGGGCUAUGAGCUUGUUGGUGGGGUGAUGGGCUACCCAGGGGGUGGCGGUUAGCCGGCCUGGGAGGGUGGACCGCCCCAUAGUGACUCAGGAACGGCCCAGACGGCUACGGGGGGCAGCAGGGGGGAAUAGUGCACAAUGGGCGGAAGCCUGAUGCAGCGACGCCGGGUGGGAGAUGACGGCCUUCGAGUUGUAACCUGCUUUCACCAUCGACGCGGUAGAUGGAGAAGAAGCACCGGCUAACUACGUGCCAGCAGCCGCGGUAAUUC